rnacentral:rRNA from 1 species
UACGUAGGGAGCAAGCGUUGUCCGGAAUCAUUGGGCGUAAAGCGCGCGUAGGUGGCUUUGUAAGUCCGCUGUGAAAGUCAAAGGCUCAACCUUUGAAAGCCGGUGGAUACUGUGGAGCUAGAGUCCGGAAGAGGCGAGUGGAAUUCCUGGUGUAGCGGUGGAAUGCGCAGAUAUCAGGAGGAACACCAAUAGCGAAGGCAGCUCGCUGGGACGGUACUGACACUGAGGCGCGAAAGCGUGGGGGAGCAAACAGG